rnacentral:snoRNA from 13 species
AAGACCGUACUUACUAGGAUCAUUUCUAUAGUACGCGUCCCGUCUUUGUAACCUUACAGAGACAACCACGAUACCCACGGUGACGAUGCAUAGCGUGAUCCUCUGGGCGCGAAGCACGUCGAGGGCAUUGCCUUGAUUGGCGAGUCGCCACCGACGAUUGAUGACCGUUCCUCCCUGCCUAUUAGUGGCUGGGAGGGGGAGGAUCACGCAUUCAGAGUGGG